AUUGAACGCUGGCGGCAGGCCUAACACAUGCAAGUCGAACGAGUGGCGGACGGGUGAGUAAUGUCUGGGAAACUGACUGAUGGAGGGGGAUAACUACUGGAAACGGUAGCUAAUACCGCAUACAAUCGGAUGUGCCCAGAUGGGAUUAGCUAGUAGGUGGGGUAACGACUCACCUAGGCGACGAGCGCUAGCUGGUCUGAGAGGAUGACCAGCCACACGGGAACUGAGACACGGCCCAGACUCCUACGGGAGGCAGCAGUGGGGAAUAUUGCACAAGGGGCGCAAGCCUGAUGCAGACAUGCCGCGUGUAUGAAGAAGGCCUUCGGGGUGUAAAGUACUUUCAGCGGGGAGACGUUACCCGCAGAAGAAGCAACGGCUAACUCCGUGCCAGCGGCCGCGGUAAUAC
rnacentral:rRNA from 1 species